UACGGGGGGGAGCAAGCGUUUGUUCGGAUUUACUGGGCGUAAAGGGCGCGUAGGCGGCCUCUGCAAGUCGACUGUGAAAUCUCCGGGCUUAACCCGGAAAGGUCAGCCGAUACUGCAGGGCUAGAGUGCAGAAGGGGCAACUGGAAUUCUCGGUGUAGCGGUGAAAUGCGUAGAUAUCUGGAGGAACAUCGGGUGGCGAAGGCGGCAUCCUGGACCGGUAUUGACGCUGAGGCGCGAAAGCCAGGGGAGCAAAGCGGA
rnacentral:rRNA from 1 species